rnacentral:rRNA from 1 species
UACGUAGGGGGCAAGCGUUGUCCGGAAUCAUUGGGCGUAAAGCGCGUGUAGGCGGCCCGAUAAGUCCGCUGUGAAAGUCCAGGGCUCAACCCUGGGAUGCCGGUGGAUACUGUCGGGCUAGAGUCCGGAAGAGGCGAGUGGAAUUCCUGGUGUAGCGGUGGAAUGCGCAGAUAUCAGGAGGAACACCGAUGGCGAAGGCAGCUCGCUGGGACGGUACUGACGCUGAGGCGCGAAAGCGUGGGGAGCGAACAGG